CUUUAGUCUGUUUCUCUUUUAUUUGCAGGGAGCUCUCAACUAAAGGAAAUUGAACCCUGACUGCUCAUUGGAAGAACACAUCCUGAAGCUGAAGCUCAAAUACUUCAGCCACCCAAUGAGAAGAAGAGGACUCCUUGGAGAAGACCCUGAUGUUGGGAGAGACGGAAGGCGAAAUGAGAAGAGGACGGCAAAAGGAGGAGAUCAGAGGGUUAACCUGUCCAUCUCUGCACACUAAGUCCUCUUUUUCCUCUCCAUUAUCUUCACCUCUACUGAUCCAUAAUUGAGAGGUAAUAACAAACAGGAUUAUCAAUGGCUGAGGAAUUGAGUUAACGUCUUCCACAUGCUAGCCUCCGCGAGAUGAAAGGAGAAGUAGUAGCACUUUAGAUGGUGGGGCAAGAUUGUUCUCCCAACUUUCUCCAAACGAGAAGCUUGGAAGGAGCGUACACUUUUGCGAAACCAUGGAUUGGAACAGCCAAAAUGGUCUAUGUGACUGGUGAAAGCUGGUUCUGCCAUAAAACUCAGUAAUAAUAUGGGGCUGCUAAAGAGUCUCUCAUGCUGUGCCAACCCAGAGAGCGGAACAAAAGACCAAUUCUCAAAUACAGCUAUCUGUCUGGAACCCGCACUGCAUAUCGGACAUUAAUACAAUUGAGCGAGUCCAGAGAUAUUUCACGAGAAGAGUCCUCCACUCCUCUGCUCACAACAGAAUCCCUUAUGCCACCAGGCUUGAAAUUUUGGGCUUAGACAACUUAGAACUACACCGCCUUCGGUCUGACAUAAGCAUAGUACACAAAAUGAUCUGCUACAAUGGCCUACCUGUCAAUGACUACUUCAGCUUCAACCACAACAAUACACUAGCAAAUAAUAGAUACAAACUUAAGGUAAACUGCUCCAAACUUGAUUGCAGAAAAUACGACUUCAGCAACAGAGUGGUCAAUGCCUGGAAUGCACUACCUGACUCUGUGGUUUCUUCCCCAAACCCCAAAAACUUUAAUCUUAGACUGUCUACUGUUGACCUCACCCCAUUCCUAAGAGGUCUAUAAGGGGUGUGCGUAAGCACAUCAACGUGCCUACCAUCCCUAUCCUACUGUCCCCAUUUCUUGGUAUCCAUUUC